CCUACGGGAGGCAGCAGUCGAGAAUCAUUCACAAUGGGGGAAACCCUGAUGGUGCGACGCCGCGUGGGGGAAUGAAGGUCUUCGGAUUGUAAACCCCUGUCAUGUGGGAGCAAAUUAAAAAGAUAGUACCACAAGAGGAAGAGACGGCCAACUGUGUGCCAGCAGCCGCGGUAAUACAGAGGGCUCAAGCGUUGUCAGGAAUCACUGGGCUUAAAGCGUGCGUAGGCUGUUUCGUAAGGCGUGUGUGAAAGGCGCGGGCUCAACCCGAGGACGGCACGUGAUAAUGGGAGACUAGAGUAAUGGAGGGGGAACCGGAAUUCUCGGUGUAGCAGUGAAAUGCGUAGAUAUCGAGAGGAACACUCGUGGCGAAGGCGGGUUCCUGGACAUUAACUGACGCUGAGGCACGAAGGUCAGGGGAGCGAAAGGGAUUAGAUACCCGAGUAGUC
rnacentral:rRNA from 1 species